GAGAGGCCCAAACGUUAUUCGGAAUUACUGGGCUUAAAGAGUUCGUAGGCGGUAUGGAAAGUAGGGUGUGAAAGCCCUCGGCUCAACCGAGGAAUUGCGCUCUAAACUGCCGUACUUGAGGAAGCUAGAGGUGAGCAGAACUGAUGGUGGAGCGGUGAAAUGCGUUGAUAUCAUCAGGAAUACCGGAGGCGAAGGCGGCUCACUGGGGCUUUUCUGACGCUGAGGAACGAAAGCCAGGGUAGCGAACGGGAUUAGAUACCCCGGUAGUCCUGGCCGUAAACGAUGAGCACUAGGCCGGAGGGCUGCACAGCUUUUCGGCCGUAGCUAAAGUGUUAAGUGCUCCGCCUGGGGAGUAUGGUCGCAAGGCUG
rnacentral:rRNA from 1 species